GCCCCCGUAGUUAAAUGGAUAUAACAAGAUCCUCCUAAGAUUUAGUUAUCAGUUCGAUUCUGGUCGGGGGUG
rnacentral:tRNA from 1 species